rnacentral:rRNA from 1 species
ACCACAGCCAUAUCACCCUGCAGCCCAAGACUGGUUGCCCACUGAAGCUAAGCAGGGUUGAGCCUGGUCAGUACCUGGAUGGGAGACCUCCUGGGAAAACUAGGUUGCUGCUGGAA